rnacentral:rRNA from 1 species
AAUGAACGCUGGCGGCAUGCCUAAUACAUGCAAGUCGAACGAAAAGACAGUGAGCUUUCGCCCCUGACGUUGGCGAGUGGCGGGUGGGUGAGGCGUAGAUAAGCUACCUCUAUUUCGUGGGUGACUACGUGAGGCCGGAGCUGCUACUACCGCAUAUGAUGAACGGGAGGGAUCAGUAGUUAUUGGCGGCUUUCGUGUCUCUUAUAGAUGGUUCCGGGCCGCAUUAGCUAGUUGGUAAGGUAACGGCUUACCAAGGCAACGAUGCGUAGCCGACCUGAGAGGGUGAUCAGCCACACUGGAACUGAGACACGGUCCAGACUCCUACGGGAGGCAGCAGUAGGGAAUAUUCGACAAUGGGCGAAAGCCUGACGGAGCAACACCGCGUGAGUGAAGAAGGCCUUCGGGUUGUAAAGCCCUUUUGUUGGGAAAGAAAAACUGCAGGUUAAUACACGGCUGUUUUGACGGUACCCAAUCAGAAAGCACCGGCUAACUACGUG